AUUGAACGCUGGCGGCAUGCCUUACACAUGCAAGUCGAACGGCAGCGGACCUUCGGGUGCCGGCGAGUGGCGAACGGGUGAGUAAUAUAUCGGAACGUACCUUUCAGUGGGGGAUAACGUAGCGAAAGUUACGCUAAUACCGCAUAUUCUGUGAGCAGGAAAGCAGGGGAGUCGCAAGACCUUGCGCUGAUUGAGCGGCCGAUAUCAGAUUAGCUAGUUGGUGAGGUAAAGGACUCACCAAGGCGACGAUCUGUAGCGGGUCGUGAGAGGAUGAUCCGCCACACUGGAACUGAGACACGGUCCAGACUCCUACGGGAGGCAGCAGUGGGGAAUUUUGGUACAAUGGGCGCAAGCCUGAUCCAGCCAUGCCGCGUGAGUGAAGAAGGCCUUCGGUU
rnacentral:rRNA from 1 species